CCUACGGGUGGCAGCAGUGAGGAAUAUUGCUCAAUGGGCGCGAGCCUGAUCCAGCCAAGUAGCGUGAAUGAUGACUGCCCUACGGGUUUUAAACUUCUUUUAUAAAGGAAUAAAGUGAGGCACGUGUGCCUUUUUGUAUGUACUUUAUGAAUAAGGAUCGGCUAACUCCGUGCCAGCAGCCGCGGUAAUACGGAGGAUCCGAGCGUUAUCCGGAUUUAUUGGGUUUAAAUGGAGCGUAGAUGGGUUGUUAAGUCCGUUGUGAAAGUUUGCGGCUCAACCGUAGAAUUGCAAUUGAUACUGGCAGUCUAGAGUACAGUUGAGGUAGGCGGAAUUCGUGGUGUAGCGGUGAAAUGCUUAGAUAUCACGAAGAACACCGGUUGCGAAGGCAGCUUACUAGACUGCCACUGACAUUGAUGCUCGAAAGUGUGGGUAUCAAACAGGAUUAGAUACCCCAGUAGUC
rnacentral:rRNA from 1 species